UAUUUGUACUAUAAGGAUUUAUGAAGCUAGGUUUACCUAGAAGGAAUAGUCUGGUAAGAUCUUAACUAUUGUGGGACCAUCGUGAUAUUCAUGACAACAAGCCAACUGGCGGAGAUUGGGGGUUGGAAAGUCAAUUUUGUGGAGAUACGAUCAUAUUGGCAUAUUUUGAGAAGUUUUGAUAACAUGUGGAGUUUUUUGUAUUGUGCUUGCAGAAUUCUCCACUACCUUAAGAGGUCUCCAAGUAAGGGUGUGCUGUUUAAAAAGACUAGCAACUUGUCCUUAGAGGCUAUGAUAAUUGUUGCUUGGAACAGUUCGGCCAACCUAGCUCAAUCUUCAGUUCUGAUGUUUCCAAGAAAGUGCUUUCUCUCUUUAUCACCGCUGCCACACUGAAAGUUGGGCAAGGUUUUAUGCUGGCUUCAGAAAUGAUUUAAACUAUCGCAGGGAGGGGGAUUCUUGGGCAAAAAAAGAAGUCAAUGGAUUUUACAGGACUAUAAAGGUUGACUACCCUCUCAUUUGGAAUUGCGAUGUUCUAUGAAAUGCUUAGUUUCCACAGCACUCCACGGAUGGUUGUAUUUUUCUUCUAGUGAAAGGGUUGUUGCUCAAAGACCAAGACUUUCGAUGGUUGACUUUUCCUCCUGGUCUUCUUCAUCAAAGAAUCAGUCGUCCAUGUUUUCUCGAAACUUCAAAUUCUUGGACUCUAGUCUCUCUCUCUCUUUCAAAUGAUGGAAAGAAUUGUUAAUUGGACUAUUCUCGUUGUGACAAACAGAAACAGCAAUAGGCAAAUUCUUCAGACUAAAUGCUUGGGAAGUGAGAGAGAUUCUCUCUUGGAUAAACAAGUAACUCUUUGAUCUUACUUUCUGAGAGACCCAAUUAUGAUUUUUUUAGACAAAAAAUUCUGCAACUAUUUUACUUUCUAGCAUUGUCCAUGUGAAAUAUUGUAAUUGCAUUUUGAUGGAUUAUACUUAUUUGUUGAUGGUGGAUCAAAUGAUUCUUAAAUGGAAAAAUCCUUGGAGAUUUUCUUGGUGCGUAC